rnacentral:rRNA from 1 species
GACGAACGCUGGCGGCGUGCUUAACACAUGCAAGUCGAACGGAAAGGCCCUGCUUUUGUGGGGUGCUCGAGUGGCGAACGGGUGAGUAACACGUGAGUAACCUGCCCUUGACUUUGGGAUAACUUCAGGAAACUGGGGCUAAUACCGGAUAGGAGCUCCUGCUGCAUGGUGGGGGUUGGAAAGUUUCGGCGGUUGGGGAUGGACUCGCGGCUGAUCAGCUUGUUGGGGGGGUAGUGGCUUACGAAGGCUUUGACGGGUAGCCGGCCUGAGAGGGUGACCGGCCACAUUGGGACUGAGAUACGGCCCAGACUCCUACGGGAGGCAGCAGUGGGGAAUAUUGCACAAUGGGCGGAAGCCUGAUGCAGCAACGCCGCGUGCGGGAUGACGGCCUUCGGGUUGUAAACCGCUUUCGCCCGUGACGAAGCGUGAGUGACGGUAAUGGGUAAAGAAGCACCGGCUAACUACGUG